CCUCUUUAUUUGGCUUGCCUAAAAAUACCUCCAGGGGCCAAGCAGAAAGCCUGGAGGGGUUGGUGAAAAUAAUAAAAGGUAAGGACGUGUUCGAUUGACAAAAGGAAAUACGUAAUUCCCAUUUGGCCAUUAGCUCCUCCCCCAGUGCAGGCCCCACCCCCACUGACCCUGCCCCUUCAGAUCAGCGCAAGCCAGCAGCACUUGAGGGUCUAUUUUUGCCCUGCUUCACUAAAUAAGGCCAGGCAGAAUAGGGGAGUGGGUGCAGGUCCAGGGGGGCUCCUCUUUGCCUUGAUCCAGGGGUAUAAAAGCUUUGGAGCAGUGGGGGGCUCCUCUGACCAGCCCCUCUGCACACUUCCCAUCUGUCCUGUCCAAACGUUUGGCAUAAAACAUGUUUGAAGUCAACAUUAUGACAUUUAAGUAUUUUUUAAGCUAACAUUUGUUGUUUUCGGUGACGUGGACGCGUAUCGGUGACGUCAUUUUUAGCCUUAAUAGCUGCUGUCUCUCAUGUGAUAGGACAAGGACAUUUAUUGGAUAAAGUAUGGACAGAAUUGUCAGGCAGGAUGGAAUAUACAGUAAGGACAAACAAGAAGAACAAGAAAAAGACUGAGACAGCCUCAUCUCAUGUGCUUUUUAUCUGAUUUCUGUUUUACAAACGCUCUGAUCUUUCGAUCUUUACCUCAUAUUGACUUGCUCCUGCUCUGUCGUUCUUAUUCUUUUUUUGUCUCUCUCUCUCUAACCGCCUGUCUUUCAUUUAGUGCUGUCAGCAUACUGUCCAUACUUUUUCCUACUCCUGUUUUAGCCGGUAUUGGGUGUAGCUCUAUACGUAGCUCGCUUUCUCUUUCAGGACAGGUGGGGAGGUGUUACCAAGAUAAACGUACAUCUUUAGGGCCAUUUUAUCUGACCUGGUCACUUUUGUCCAAUAUUUUUGUUAAUUUGCUCUUCUGUUUGCGCCGAGAACACUCUGGUAUUGAUGGCAACGCUCUGCAUUUCUUUUCAUCCACAUCUCUUUAUCAUCUGUCCAUCCCCCUACCCCUCUCUCUCUCUCUCUUUUUCCUCUCAUCCUCAAAUUCUCAAACGCUGAAUCAGCUGCUUGGGAACGGACGCUCCCCCUGCCUCUUGGAUCCACACACAAGCUGCCUCUCCCCGGUUCGACGGUGUCCUUUUCCUGUCCUGAGCUUGGGAUUCUGGCACACACAGAAGUCUUGCCCAAAAAUGCUUUGCUAAAGCUGGUAAAAUGGAACCAAAUCAACUGUUUUAUGGAUUUGGUCCCCUUCAACCAGCUGUAGCUGUGCAUUGAUCACCCCGUAGAGCUGUGAUGAAGAAAGAGAGGUGUUCAAAAGCAUAACACACAAUAUUUGCUCUGUGUGAAGUUCACAGUGCAGGACCGGCUGUUAAAUGCAUGUUCCUUUAAGCACUAAUAUCAUGAUUAAACAUUUUUUUGUCCUCUUAAAGCCUAGGUGAGUAUUACAGUAUAUAUGCCAUGUAAUUUAUUAUUUAUGAGAUAUAAUUGUUGAUUAUGUAUUCAAGCCAGAUCACUAUCAUUGGAAAGAGGGCUCUGGGCUCUUUAUGGCCGCCCAUUGAUUUCUUGUCUCACCAUUGAAAGAGUGUGGGGUGGGGGGAUGAGCCAGGCUGGACGGAUGUAGGGAAUGAGGGAGUGGGUGCAUGUCAAGCUGUUGAAUAAGUAAAACAGUUGUUCCUUUUCUCUCUGUUUUCCUUCUACACUUGUCGUGAUUCUUAAUGCACAUGGCUGAUCAAUAAAAGCUCAUCCUGAAGUUCAUAAA